rnacentral:rRNA from 1 species
UGCAAGUCGAGCGGUAACACAGAGGAGCUUGCUCCUUGGGUGACGAGCGGCGUUCGGGUGAGUAAUGCCUGGGGAUCUGCCCGAUAGAGGGGGAUAACUACGGGAAACUGUAGCUAAUACCGCAUAAUGUCUACGGACCAAAGUGGGGGCUCUUCGGACCUCAUGCUAUCGGAUGAACCCAGGUGGGAUUAGCUAGUUGGUAAGGUAAUGGCUCACCAAGGCGACGAUCUCUAACUGGUUUGAGAGAAUGACCAGUCACACUGGAACUGAGACACGGUCCAGACUCCUACGGGAGGCAGCAGUGGGGAAUAUUGCACAAUGGGCGCAAGCCUGAUGCAGCCAUGCCGCGUGUGUGAAGAAGGCCUUCGGGUUGUAAAGCACUUUCAGCGGGGAGGAAGGGCUACUAGUUAAUACCUAGUGGCAUUGACGUUACUCGCAGAAGAAGCACCGGCUAACUCCGUGCCAGCAGCCGCGGUAAUACGGAGGGUGCAAGCGUUAAUCGGAAUUACUGGGCGUAAAGCGCACGCAGGCGGUUUGUUAAGUCAGAUGUGAAAUCCCCGAGCUCAACUUGGGAACUGCAUUUGAAACUGGCAAGCUAGAGUCUUGUAGAGGGGGGUAGAAUUCCAGGUGUAGCGGUGAAAUGCGUAGAGAUCUGGAGGAAUACCGGUGGCGAAGGCGGCCCCCUGGACAAAGACUGACGCUCAGGUGCGAAAGCGUGGGGAGCAAAA